rnacentral:rRNA from 1 species
UACGAAGGAUUCAAGCGUCGUCCGGAUUUAUUGGGUUUAAAGGGUGCGUAGGUGGCUAUUUAAGUCAGUGGUGAAAUACAGCCGCUCAACGGUUGAGGUGCCAUUGAUACUGAAUAGCUUGAAAGAAUUGGAGGCUGCCGGAAUGGAUGGUGUAGCGGUGAAAUGCAUAGAUAUCAUCCAGAACACCGAUUGCGAAGGCAGGUGGCUACGAUUUAUUUGACUCUGAGGCACGAAAGCAUGGGGAGCAAACAGG